rnacentral:rRNA from 1 species
UACGAAGGGGGCUAGCGUUGCUCGGAAUCACUGGGCAUAAGGGCGCGUAGGCGGGCUGCCAAGUCAAGGGUGAAAUCCUCCGACUCAAUCGGAGAACUGCCUUUGAUACUGGUGGUCUCGAGGGAGGUAGGGGCGUGUGGAACUAAGGGUGGAGCGGUGAAAUGCGUUGAUAUCCUUAGGAACUCCGGUGGCGAAGGCGACACGCUGGACCUUUUCUGACGCUGGGGCGCGAAAGCCAGGGGAGCAAACGGG